UUCACAACCCUAUUAUUGAUAAAUUCCAUUCAUUCAUUAUUAUCGAUUUUCAGAAGAUGGUUUAUGACCCCAAUUUUAGUUUCUUGUUUAUUAAGAAUUAUUUCUAUAUAUUCUUUUAAAAUGCUCCUAAAUUGGAUUUUUGGAUUAGAAAUUGGAUCUGAUGCAGUGAUUACUGACAAGAUUUUUUUAGGUCCUAGAAAUACAUACUUAAGUAAUUAAGGCAAAGGUUUCAAUUCAAAUUAUGGUGGGAUCUAAAUCGAAAGAUGUAAUGGUUUAUUUUCUAGCUC
rnacentral:lncRNA from 1 species